UCCAUCUAUCCACUCAAUCCAUUCAUCUGACACAUCUACAAGUCUUCCACACACGGACCGAACCAUAAAGGACAUUUUGUUUUGUAACCGAACUGGACGAACCAUCGCUGGUAAAUCGGACUGAACUUUGGAGACUUGUGAUCGGACUCACCGUCGAUAAGUGACCGAGAUCCGAACUCAUCAGCAGCUGGAUGGUCUUCUCCUGAAUCUCUGAAUCACAUCUGGAGAGAGAAACCAACCAAGCCUGGACAAGAAGACUGAAAAGAGCAAUUUUAUAACCACACACCAAUAUUUAUGUUUAUAUUUCAUGUGUGGUUUUUUUCUAGUCUGAUGAUCACCAUGCUUGGAUUUCAUUACCUCAGCAGGGAGGGCUGGAGUCGGCCAUGAGCGUGUAUAGAUGCUCGACACGCCCCACCACGGUUCACCUCCACCGUCGGUCUGUAAAGGAACGAAGCUCCUGACUCCCAGCGUCAAACCAAUGCUGCAUCAUCCGGAUCAUGGGAUGCGUCAAAUCCAAAUGCGGGAAGCCUGCUCAGAACUCCAGCACGCCGGACCGGGUGGACGGCCCGCCUGCUCCGGUCUGCCUGGGAGCCGGCCUGGACGAGGAGACGUCGCUGGUCAACCUGGUCCUGCUUGACUACGCGCAGAGACUGUCGGAGGAGAUCGUGGCCCGGGCCGUUCAGCAGUGGGCCGAGGUGGACAGCCGCUACAGCGACAUCCCUUAUAUCGAGUGUGACGUGCCAUGAUGUGCCAGCGUGUGGAGUUCCCACGGUCCAGCAGAUCCGCUGGGAUUUACCACGACCAGUGAAGGAACCUGAGAAGGAACUGCAGAAGACGUGUUUAGGAACCUUUUUUAAGCACGAAUAAGAUCACAUGACGUGGAAUAUAAACUGAACAAAUCUAGCAUUUUGAACACAGCCGGUACCUCAAUACCCUCCGCUGCUCGUCUCCUCCGCAGCCCUGCACACUCCUGCAGCUCAGAUAUGCAAAACUCACGCCAGGUCACGAGAGGAAUUCAUACCUACCUAAAAUAGCUCUGAUCUGCUAGUCCUACUGCCAGAGGAACGCUACGGAUUUACACAAAUGCUCAGCACAUAACAAGCAAGCGUCCUUAAUCUUAAUAAAUCUUAAUAAAUCGUGUUACAAGCACAAUCACAGUUUUGUGGCAUAUUUAUCACGUGAAGUAGUGCAGUUGUAGCCUAGCGGUUAAGGUACUGGACUAGUAAUCAAAAGGUCACAGGUUCAAGUCCCACCACUGCCAGGUUGUCACUGUUGGGCCCUUGAGCGAGGCCCUUAACCCUCAAUUGCUUAGACAGUUUACUGUCACAGUACUGUAAGUCGCUUUGGAUAAAGGUGUCUGCUAAAUGCUGUAAAUGUAAAUGAAGUACAAUAAAGUAA